GCGCGUGUGCCGGAGUGGUCUAACGGGUGGGUCUCAAGCGGUUACGCUUUCGUUCAUAUGAGCGACGCAUUGAGCUGUGCUUUCCCAUAGCGAAAGCUGCGUGAGUUCAAAUCUCACCGCGCGCA
rnacentral:tRNA from 1 species